CGGACGGGUGAGUAACACGUGGAUAACCUACCAUAAGACUGGGAUAACUUCGGGAAACCGGAGCUAAUACCGGAUAAUAUAUUGAACCGCAUGGUUCAAUAGUGAAAGACGGUUUUGCUGUCACUUAUAGAUGGAUCCGCGCCGCAUUAGCUAGUUGGUAAGGUAACGGCUUACCAAGGCAACGAUGCGUAGCCGACCUGAGAGGGUGAUCGGCCACACUGGAACUGAGACACGGUCCAG
rnacentral:rRNA from 1 species